GACGAACCGUCCAAACGUUAUUCGGAAUCACUGGGCUUACAGAGUUCGUAGGCGGUCUGGAAAGUUGGGUGUGAAAUCCCUCGGCCUAACCGAGGAACUGCGCUUGAAACUACCAGACUCGAGGGGGAUAGAGGAAAGCGGAACUGAUGGUGGAGCGGUGAAAUGCGUUGAUAUCAUCAGGAACACCGGUGGCGAAGGCGGCUUUCUGGGUCUUACCUGACGCUGAGGAACGAAAGCCAGGGGAGCGGAACGGGGA
rnacentral:rRNA from 1 species